rnacentral:rRNA from 1 species
CCCUUAGAUGUCCGGGGCCGCACGCGCGCUACAAUGAUGAAUUCAACGAGUUUAUAACCUUGGUUGAAAAGCCUGGGUAAUCUUUUGAACUUUCGUCGUGAUGGGGCUAGACCCUUGCAAUUAUUGGUCUCCAACGAGGAAUUCCUAGUAAACGCAAGUCAUCAGCUUGCAUUGAUUACGUCCCUGCCCUUUGUACACACCGCCCGUCGCACCUACCGAUUGAAUGGUCCGGUGAAAUCUUCGGAUUGAGACUUUGAUUUGUUUACUCAAAACGCUGUUUCAAGAAGUUGAUUAAACCUUACCAUUUAGAGGAAGGUGAAGUCGUAACA